UUAAUAGAAGAGCCACGUUAUGAUGACUUCCUGGAGAUGGAGUUUCAGAAAGAGCAGGAGUAUUUAAAGAGACAUAGGCCCAAUGUCAAAGCAUUAAAUUACAAGUAAAAUUUAUUUUAAGUCGUAUUUGAUAUAUACAGCACUUUUAUAACAAGUUUUAUAACAUAGUUAAAUUUCUGUGCUAUAAAAUGACACUAUGUGCCCAGAAAACGCAUAAUACCGUUCCUUUAAAACCAUUAUGAAAGAAAUUUGAGGGUGAAUUCACACCAGCCCUGCUUAGUACGUUUAAAUUGAACCUUAGUUCGUUUACCGAGAGAGCUCGGUUUGUUUGAACUCUGUUUCCACCUAAAAACCUCCGUUUUGGUUUGAUAGUGAAUGCCAAGAUGCCCAGUGACGACUCAAAAAAGCAGGAAGCCAAUUAUAGCACAGAGCAUUAUGGGUAAAUACAAAUAAAGACAAAAGCGAGAAUCUAACGUUAGAGAAAAAACAAAAGAAAAAUCACACGACUGUUAAAAUUUGAAGCUACUCCAUUUUUAUUUACAUUUUGAGAAGGAAGCUGUGCUCACGUCUUCUUCGGAGGUUUUGGUGUCGCUUUUUUGGCGCAGCGCCAUCACAGGCGAAAGGGUGAACGGCAGUUUUUAAUUGGUUCGGCUCAUUGAAAAUAUAACAAAUAUUGAAAUUUUGGUCCCCAAUUGAACCGAGUCUACCAACUUUAAGACUGGUAUCACGACGGAAAUGUAGAGGGGAAAAUCGCUAAUAAAUACAUAGUAUGAGUUGGCAACAGAAGUGAGAAAAUGGCGAAGACAAACAUCGUGCAGUCAACUGCCGAUAAAUGUCCACUUAAUGGAAGUAACAAACUAGCUAGCUUAUUAGCAACUUUAGCCGUAGCCGCAACCGCGCAAUGAUCAAAUCUGAUUAUGACUCAAAAGUUUUUCAUAACAAUAUAGUCCCGCAAGAAAAACGAAAACUAAACGGAAAAUAUGAGCUUAAAUAGUCCUGCCCUCACAAAAUGUAACACCUGUGAUUAACUAAGGCCAAUUUAUUGUUUUUUUCAAUUAAUGAAGGACAUUUGAAGGCCUUCAUUUUGGAUACAUGAACGUAAGACUUUUUAAGGCUGUGUGGACAGCAUGUAUCAGAGAGAACCGGUUGCCCAGAGGCACCUUGCACAGCCUCUGCAGCUCAGGCAUUGAUUCCCAUGCCAGCCAUCAAUCAGAGUGACAUUUUAUGCAUCUGCAUCCCAUACUCAGAAAUCUUACCAUCUCUCCAUCGCUUCGCUGUGUUCACAGAGACUCUUCUUCUCCGAUCAUCUCUGCAAGACAUGAGGGCAAGAGAGAUACAGAAAAGAAGAAGAAAGAGGGGGGGGGGGAGCGUCCUGCUUUUUUCCUUUAAUCUAUUUUUCCCAUUUAAAAACACAGAACCCAGCAUGUGGGCUGGCUCAAAGCCAACUUUAUCUCUUAAAAGAAGAUUUAAAAAAAAAAAAAAAAACAAUCUUAGCAAAGCCUCCUCAAGGGAGAUCUAAAUUUACCACUCAUUUGCCCGCCACAUGUUUGCACAGAAUCAACAUCUGCAUGCAAAAAAAAAA